UCGUGGAAUGUUUUAUCGGUCAUUAAACUAAUUAGAUUACCAGUAUUGCAGCGGUCAGCUAUAAAUUAGCGUUCCGCUCGUUUACGACCGGCUUUGAGCCUUCGACCGAGCCUGCUUGCGGUUUGAAGCUGUGUUUUUGGCAUGAAUAGCUUAUAUCAUUAGAAAGGAGAAUGACUCGAGAAUGUGUACCCACCCGUGGUGGAGGUGUGAAGGAACAAUUUCGAGAGGUGUGAAAAGUGAAGGGCCCCCCAGGUGCUCGACUGACUCUCCACUAAUCGCGGGCAGGCGGAAAACAAGCGUGAUGAGUUGCUGGUUCCCCGGGUCCCAAUUGGGAUUGCAAGAAAAA